ACAGGAGACUGACGGAAGAACUUGUGCGAUUCAAGGCAUCUAUAAGUUCUCUAACCAGUGAGCUUGCCUCAGUCAAGGCUCAUGAUCGAGAAGUUACCCGACAGGCUAAACAUGCCCAAGAAGAGCUACACGGGGCCCUUGAGGAAUCUGAUAAAAACGCAAG